rnacentral:rRNA from 1 species
CCAAUAGCGUAUAUUAAAGUUGUUGCAGUUAAAAAGCUCGUAGUUGAAUUUCGGAAUCUGUCCGUUGGUCGGGCUUUAUUGUCCGUACUGGUGUGAUGGGUUCUUACCUUCUGAAUAACCAGCAUGCCAUUCAUUUGGUGCGUUGGGGAAGCCGGACUAUUACCUUGAAAAAAUUAGAGUGCUCAAAGCAGGCUAGUGCCUGAAUACAUUAGCAUGGAAUAAUAAAAUAGGACGGCAUGGUUCUAUUUUGUUGGUUUCUAGGAUCACCGUAAUGAUUAAUAGGGAUAGGUGGGGGCAUUAGUAUUCAAUUGUCAGAGGUGAAAUUCUUGGAUUUAUUGAAGACUAACUUCUGCGAAAGCAUUUGCCAAGGAUGUUUUCAUUAAUCAAGAACGAAAGUUAGGGGAUCGAAGACGAUCAGAUACCGUCGUAGUCUUAACCAUAAACUAUGCCGACUAGGGAUCGGACGAUGUUAAUUUUUUAAUGACUCGUUCGGCGCCUUACG